UACGUAGGGUGCAAGCGUUAAUCGGAAUUACUGGGCGUAAAGCGUGCGCAGGCGGUUAUAUAAGCCAGUUGUGAAAUCCCCGGGCUCAACCUGGGAACUGCAUCUGUGACUGUAUAGCUAGAGUACGGUAGAGGGGGAUGGAAUUCCGCGUGUAGCAGUGAAAUGCGUAGAUAUGCGGAGGAACACCGAUGGCGAAGGCAAUCCCCUGGACCUGUACUGACGCUCAUGCACGAAAGCGUGGGGAGCAAACAGG
rnacentral:rRNA from 1 species